rnacentral:rRNA from 1 species
GACGUAGGGCGCGAGCGUUGUCCGGAUUUAUUGGGCGUAAAGAGCUCGUAGGCGGCUUGUCGCGUCGACUGUGAAAUCCCGCGGCUCAACCGCGGGUCUGCAGUCGAUACGGGCAGGCUAGAGUUCGGUAGGGGAGACUGGAAUUCCUGGUGUAGCGGUGAAAUGCGCAGAUAUCAGGAGGAACACCGAUGGCGAAGGCAGGUCUCUGGGCCGAUACUGACGCUGAGGAGCGAAAGCGUGGGGGAGCGAACAGG